rnacentral:rRNA from 1 species
GACGAACGCUGGCGGCGUGCUUAACACAUGCAAGUCGAACGGAAAGGCCCUGCUUGCCGGGUACUCGAGUGGCGAACGGGUGAGUAACACGUGGGUGAUCUGCCCUGCACUUCGGGAUAAGCCUGGGAAACUGGGUCUAAUACCGGAUAGGAGCCAUUUUUAGUGUGAUGGUUGGAAAGUUUUUUCGGCGUAGGAUGAGCUCGCGGCCUAUCAGCUUGUUGGUGGGGUAAUGGCCUACCAAGGCGGCGACGGGUAGCCGGCCUGAGAGGGUGGACGGCCACAUUGGGACUGAGAUACGGCCCAGACUCCUACGGGAGGCAGCAGUGGGGAAUAUUGCACAAUGGGCGCAAGCCUGAUGCAGCGACGCCGCGUGGGGGAUGACGGCCUUCGGGUUGUAAACUCCUUUCGCUAGGGACGAAGCUUUUUGUGACGGUACCUAGAUAAGAAGCACCGGCUAACUACGUG